CUUUAGGUUUUACCUGUGUGGUGCUAAACUUUGAAUGACCAGAUAGUGACUGACCAUCUUAUGUUUUUUCACUUGAAAGAUUUUUUCAAGGAAACCAAGGAGGAGAUGGAAUGGAAUAAGAAGUGAGCCGAAGGUGGAGAUUCUGAUUGCUUGGUUGAUUUGAUGGAUUCUUGGAUCUUCUAAAUGAGAUUUCAUUAAGAUUAUUACUGCCCUGGGUCCUUUGAUAAAGAUAUUGUCAAUUUACGCAAGAGCAAAUCUUUUUAAGUUUGCACCAAGAAAACAGGAACAAGGAGAAGGAGAAGAAUGAGAAGAUUAGGAUGACGGUGAUGAUGCUGAUGAUAAAAAGAGAAUGAAAGAAGGAUGACUGAAUCAUUUAGACUCGUGCAAAUGAACACAUUUCCUAAUGUUACCAAUCAGACUGGUUUUGAUUGGAAUGGCACCAUUUAAAUCCUGUUGGAGUUUUCUAUCAUUCAUCAACGCUUUUCAAGAACUUUUGUCCUAUUGUCCUGAAAUCAGAUCACUAACUCCAUAACGAUGAUGCAUAGAACGGUUUAAUUUUAUUCAAUUCUCACCUGGAACUAUCGACUCAACCAGAAUUCCUGUUGAGUAAUGAUACAACUGCUAGAUCUAUCUGAGAAUGCUGUUAUUCCUGUUGACGAAAUCUAGGAUCCAUUAUUUUCCUUAUUCAAAAAACAAUUUAUCUGUCCCAAGUAUUGAAUAUUCAGUGAUUUAAGUGAAUUGGAAGCAAUAUUGGAUUCAAUAUUGAGUCAAUACUUGCUCAAGAGUAAAGAAUUAUCAAUUCAAAUGGAUCAAAACCAGACCAAGAAUCAUGCUCAUCAAGACAAUGUCAGAAGAUUGAAAAUUAAUAUUUAUUAUUCAUCUGAAUCGAUAUAUGGAAAUCAAUUUUGGAGCAAGUCCCUGUUUAUGAUUAUAUUGAUCAGUAAAACAAAUGCAACCAACUCGAGAGCCUCAUAUUGUCCCAUCAACCUGUACCCAGUGAUGCUUCCAGCCUGGCCUUAAAAUUCAUGCUUACUCAAAGCUUCUCUGUGACUGUUGAUUUACUUCCCUCGAUUGUUUAAAUGAUGUUCAAUUGUACCAGAAAUAGAUCUAAAUUGUUGCAAUUUGAAUUGUAAAAAUGUUGGUUGGUUGAACAGAAUGAAAUGAAAAGGUUAUCAUGUAAACUGCCCAUGAAGCUGAAUUACAAACCCAAGGAGAGAGAAACGUGAAUAGGAAAGAGUUGCAAUAAUUACCUUCACAACUUAAUCAGUCCAAGUCAGUCCAAUUUUCAAUUGGCUUUAAUCAGCAAAUUGAAUAUUUCACUGAAUCAAACAACUUUCAAUCAAUACUGAUUAAAACUCAACAUAUUCAUCACUUUCCAGUUGCAACUGUUUAAUUUCUGUUCAACCGAUACAAUCGUUUCACAAAGGGAAAAAAACACCUCCUAAUCUAACCAAUUCAAUAAUACAGUUUAAUUUUUUUCUUCCCUCAAUUAAUCAAUUUGAAGAAAAAUCUUAAUGACAAUUGCCUGCAAUUAGAUUAUCUUACCUUUUCAUUCACCUGACUUAUAAUGAUUGAUUGCUUCUUUUCUUGAUAACUUGUUUCUUUUUUACCUCAAUAAUUCAUUUCUUUUCUCAUCUCAAAUAACAUUUAUAAACAUAUAUACACAUUUGUAAUAAUUGUUACUGUCUUGGUGAAGAAGAAAAGUGCAACUGUUUUGCUCCUAUUUAAGGUCAGGGUUAAUGAAUUGUUAACUUUUCUAAUUAUUAAUUGCUAAUGAAUGGUUUAAUCACAACCAGCUCUUGAAGACUGUUUACCGGGUUGAUCCAGUUAACGGUUAAACAAAGUAAUUGAUCAAUUGUCAAACUGUUAACAUUAAAUGUAAUCUUUGGAAAGGAAACAUUUUACCAAAAAUUGAAAAACGGUUAAUGAUAUAAGCCCGGUGGGAGAGUGAAAAGAGGAAAAACUGUGGGAGGAAAAGGGCAUCGGUCAGUUGGAGCCAGUUUCAUCAUUUUGGAUGGUCAAUCGUUUUCCUUUAUUUCAAUUGCCAUUGGUCGUGUUAAUCAACAAAUUGAAAGCCUUUACCAAGAAAAGAGAUUCAUCUUUAUGGCCAUUAAAUGGAUCCAUUGUUGAACUCAAAGUGUUAACCAUCAAGCUAAUACCAAUUGUUAAAUCCGAUGAUUAUCCGAUGAUGAUAAUGAGGAUGAACAGCGUUUAAAGGGUUGCUUUUCAAUUGAACCUUUUCCCAUUUCCAUUAAUCAAAAUUGAUCUAAUCUUGGACUAAUCAUCACUAAUCACAGCUUUAAUCCAUCUUCCCUUGUUGAACCGAUUAUUGAUUAACCUUUACUCUUCGCAUUACCUGUUAUUGAACAACAUUUACCAUUAUGAAUACAUUUAAAUGGGAAUUCAUCUUUUCCAUUUUCCAUCUUGAAAUGAUUAA